rnacentral:rRNA from 1 species
GACGGGGGAUGCAAGCGUUAUUCGGAAUCACUGGGCGUAAAGCGUCUGUAGGCGGUGAUGCAAGUCACUGGUGCAAAACUCUGGCUCAACCGGAGGAAAGCCAGUGAAACUGCAUGACUAGAGCGUGGGAGAGGUAGAAGGAAUUCCCUGAGUAGCGGUGAAAUGCGUAGAUACAGGGAAGAACACCGGAGGCGAAAGCGUUCUACUGGAACACAACUGACACUGAGAGACGAAAGCUAGGGGAGCGAAUGGG